CCUGCGGGUGACAGCAGUGGGGAAUAUUGCACAAUGGGGGAAACCCUGAUGCAGCGACGCCGCGUGAAGGAAGAAGAAUUUCGGUAUGUAAACUUCUAUCAGCAGGGAAGAAAAUGACGGUACCUGAAUAAGAAGCCCCGGCUAACGACGUGCCAGCAGCCGCGGUAAUACGUAGGGGUCAAGCGUUAACCGGAUUUACGGGGUGGAACGGGAGCGUAGGCGGUUUCGCAAGUCAGAUGUGAAAGCCCGGGGCCCAACUCCGGGACUGCUUUUGAAACUGUGGAACUAGAUUGCAGGAGAGGUAAGUGGACUUCCUAGUGUAGCGGUGAAAUGCGUAGAUAUUAGGAGGAACCCCAGUGGCGACGGCGGCUUACUGGACUGUAACUGACGCUGCCGCUCGAAAGCGUGGGGAGCAAACAGGAUUAGAUACCCUUGUAGUC
rnacentral:rRNA from 1 species